rnacentral:rRNA from 1 species
ACGGAGGGUGCAAGCGUUGUUCGGAAUCAUUGGGCGUAAAGCGCGUGUAGGCGGCUUGGCAAGUCGGAUGUGAAAGCCCGAGGCCCAACCUCGGAACUGCAUUCGAAACUGCCUAGCUAGAGUCUCGGAGAGGAGAGCGGAAUUCCCGGUGUAGAGGUGAAAUUCGUAGAUAUCGGGAGGAACACCAGUGGCGAAGGCGGCUCUCUGGACGAUGACUGACGCUGAGACGCGAAAGCGUGGGGAGCAAACAGG